rnacentral:lncRNA from 1 species
GGAUAUCCAUUGGUUCUUACAAAUGGUUUGUUUGAAGUUCUCAAGGAGUUGAGAGAAGAGCUCUCGAGUUUCAAGAAAGCAAAAAAGAGCUCUCUCUCGAUUGAUAAAUUAUCGUUGCUAUCUGCGACAAUAUAUGGACUUCAUUAGGGGCAUCUGAGAGCUGUUGAUGGAUGCCCACAGAAGAUUGAUACACAUUAGAGAUAUGAUUCAUUUUUUUCUGAAAUAACUUAAUGUGCCAAACUAGAUAAUUAUAAGUGCGAAAUAAUUUUUAUCGUGCUAACUAAUGUUGCGUGCCGAAUCAAGUCCGUGCCAAGUAAUGUACCAUGCCAUCUAAUGGUCUAUGCCACAUAUGACUCGAUAUUAUAUUCGGCAUCAUGCCAACUAACGCAGCAUGGCUCUUACAUAGUUAGGAAAAUUAUAUUUCUAAUUUUGAGUCCCAUAUGUGCCAACACACAUCCGUGCCAACCAAUCCAAGGUAUUAUUUAUUUGUUUUAUAGAUUGUGAGCACGAAAACUUUUGUAGGCCUGAUUGUACUAUCUAUAUUAUAUAUUUUAUGGAAGUCAUGUGAUGGAAGGCAGAUCAUAAUUGCUGAAGCUCGUAUACUAGAGUUACGUGCUAGAUAUGCUGCACAGGAGAUUAUGAAUGGGCGCAAGAUGGGAUCGUCAUAGUUUAUUUUGUGCUAUCUUCAUGACUAUAUGUGUUGGAUCCACUCUUUUAUAUACAUUUAUGUUUUAUGUAUUCUGCCUAAAUAUUUGGAUAUAUUGUGAAUCUCUUGUGAAUAAACUUAUAUGAAAGCCUAUAAAAAAAAAAUUUGCUGCAAUGGAACUCUAAUUUCUAUGUAUAUAAAUAAUUUGUAGUAGGUAAAUCAAUUGUGUUUAUUAUGUUAUUGAUGCAAUGGAAUUGUUGAAAUCUGAGUUUGUUCUUUAUAUUUCUUUAAGUUUGUUUAUAGAUUUAUAUUAUGUUUAUUGACAGAUCUGAUAACUGUGAAAUUCUACAGUUGGUUGGAGUAUUGUUUUCUAAAUGAUUUUGUGUCUAGAGUUAUGACAGGUCAAUAUGUGCUUGAUUGUAUGGAAGUGGUUUUGUUGUCAAAUUUUUGAUCUUGUUUGGCAUUAUUUCUGGUCUCAUAUCUUACUCAUUCAGAAAUUUGAGUUUGCUCUUUUAAGUAAAUUUGUAUAUCUUUAUAAUAGAGAAUAAGAAAGGGGGAUAAACAUAUUGAUGAUUGUAAAGUUCAGAUAUUUACUCUAUAGGUUAUAUUAUUUUUUUUUUGCCACAGCAAGGUGCACGAUAAAUGCAAACUAUCCCAGAAUAAAUUCAAAUCCUGCAGAAUAAAUACAAACUGCAUAUAAAUAAGCAGAAACUAUGCUGAAAUAAACAUAAACUCUGCAGAAUAAAUACAAACUCGAGAUCCACAAGUUGAGUAAUCUAGGAUCCUUUCAGGAUAAAUACUAACUGAGAAAGAUAAACAUUAAUUCCUGCUGAAAUAAACACAAACUAUCAUGGGAUAAACACAAACACCAAAUAAUAAACACAAACUGACUUAGAAUAAACACAAAUUAACCGAAGUUGCUCUCUGCCUUUUAUGAAUCUAAGGCCAGAUAAACACAAAUUACCUCAGAAUAAAUACAAACCCCGCAGAAUAAAUACAAACUAUGUAUAAUAAAUAGAAACUCUACUGAAAUAAAUAUAAAUCUCGCAGAAUAAACACAAACUUAGGAUCCAUAAGUUGGGUGAUCCUAAGAUUCUCCCAAGAUAAACACUAACUAAGAAGGAUAAACAUUAAUUUCUAUUAAAAUAAAUACAAACCAUCAUAGGAUAAAUACAAAUACCAAAUAAUAAACACAAACUGGCUUAGAAUAAAUAUAAACUAACCGACGUUACUCUCUGUCUUUUAUGAACUCAAGGCCGGAUAAACACAAACUACCUCAGAAUAAACAUAAACCCCACAAAAUAAAUAUAGAUUGUGUAUAAAAAAUAGAAACUUUAUUGAAAUAAAUACAAAUCCCACAGAAUAAACACAAACACAGGGUCCACCAGUUGGAUGAUCCCAAGGUCCUUCCAAGAUAAACACUAAUUAAGGAGGAUAAAUACUAACUCCUGCUGAAACAAAUACAAACCAUCAUAGGAUAAAUACAAACACAAAAUAAUAAAUACAAACUGACUUAGAAUAAACACAAACUAAUCAAAGUUGCUCUCUGUCCUUUAUGAACCCAAGGCCGAAUAAAUACAAACUACCUCAGAAUAAACACAAACCCCAUAGAAUAAACAUAAACUGCAUAUAACAAACAAAAAUUCUACUGAAAUAAAUAUAAAUCCUGCAGAAUAAAUACAAACUUGAAGUCUACUACUAUCGAGUUUGUGUUUAUUCUGGAGAUUUCAUGUUUAUUGAUGCAAAGUUUGUGUUUAUUAUUCGACGUUUGUGUUUAUUUUGGAUCAAUUUGUAUUUAUCUGAUUUUGGGUUCAUAAAGGGU